GGUUCCAUGGUGUAGUGGUUAGCACUCUGGACUUUGAAUCCAGUGACCUGGGUUCAACUCCUGGUGGGACUU
rnacentral:tRNA from 1 species